GACGAACGCUGGCGGCGUGCCUAAUACAUGCAAGUAGGACGCAGUUGCGAACGGGUGAGUAACGCGUAGGUAACUACCUAUUAGAGGGGGAUAACUAUUGGAAACGAUAGCUAAUACCGCCUACUCGUAGAUGGACCUGCGUUGUAUUAGCUAGUAGGUCGGGUAAUGGCCUACCUAGGCAACGAUACAUAGCCGACCGUGGAGGGGGAUCGGCCACACUGGGAAGGAGAAACGGCCCAGACUCCUACGGGAGGCAGCAGUAGGGAAUCUUCGGCAAUGGGGGGAACCCUGACCGAGCAAAGCCGCGUGAGGGAAGAAGGUUUUCGGAUCGUAAAGCUCUGUUGUGAAGGAAGCGGUACUUAACCAGAAAGGGACGGCUAACGACGUGCCAGCAGCCGCGGUAAUUC
rnacentral:rRNA from 1 species